rnacentral:misc_RNA from 1 species
CUAGUUAAUAUUUUUUUUAGUAUAAUAUUAAAAGAGUGUGGACUCAAAUUUAAUAUGCAUUCAGUCAUUAAAUGUAGACAUAAAAAUGAAUUUUAAAAUCUAUCAUCUAAAUAAAUCAAUGACAUAAAGUAUAUAUUUUUAUAAAAAUGGAUUUCACAAGUUCCACAAAGGCUCAGAUUGCAAGAAUGUAAUGGCACUAGAAUUUUUCCCCCCUUUUUCCUUUUCCUACGACAGUGGUGAAUACUCAAAGACUACAGGGCAAGAACCGAAGAAUAGACAUAACUUCUCUUCGAAUUUGAUCUCUCCUUAUCUUUCCAGUUGUUGUGAGUGGAAAUGGCUUUCUCCAUAAAACAAAUCUUUUUGGUACUUUAAACCCGGAUAAAUUCUUUUCUCUGCAGUACUUGUGGAGAAUUUCACUGCAUAAGAGUAGCUCGUUUUCAGCAGGGUCUUCACAAUUGUUUUCAGACCAUUGCCAACCUUCUUUUAUUUUAACGCAAGCGACAACCAUCUCUGUCAGGCGAGCAUCUGGAAUUCCCAGAACAAUGACGGCAACCACUCCUGGAUGUUGCAACAAGAUUGACUCCACCUCUUCUGGGUGAACAUUCUCCCCGCCACUCUUGAUACGGUUGUUUGUACGUCCAAUGAGCCAUAAAUUACCAGAGUUAUCUAUGUAACCGAUGUCACCUGUGUCAAGCCAAACUUCAUUGAUGUGGUUUGGUGCCUUCAAUGGAUUUUGGUCCCAAUAUCGAAGCAUUACAUGUGGGCCUCUAGUUAAAAUUCUCCCAAUCUGAGAAGAGCCAUCAAUACAUACUUUUAACUCCACAUGUGGUGCAGGCUUGCCAACACAGACACCUUGCGGUUGGUUACCUGAAGCAGACUUUAUUUUACUAGACGUCUGCAAGAGCUGACUAGGGGUUUCAAUUGUUGGAUCAUUGAGGGUCAUGAAGGUUAGAGAAGAACAGCUCUCUGUCAUUCCUUCAAGAGAUAAAGAAAUGUUGAAGAGAGGAAGAACAUUAAAAAGUUAGGGAAAAAAUAAGAAAAAUACAUAAUAGUUAAAUCCAUUGAAAGAAUAUACAAGUUGCCAGACAAUUUUACACUUAUGAGUCUGUUUGGCUUAGUUAAGUUUGAAUCAGAAUCUAGUAACCUCCAUAAGCGUGGCACUGGUAGAUGAGAAUUUAGCCCUAUUUGGUUUUUCCCGGAGAUUCAAUCCCAUGAAACUUUAGUCAAUUUUCAAACCCACAUCAUUGGAAGCUAAAUUCAGUAAUGUUAUCCUUCUUUUGGCCCUAAGAAAUUAUAGUGCUUAAAAUUUCUUCUAAACAACCUCACAUCUAAAAGAUUUUAUCAAAAGAUCAUUUCAAAGUAGAAAUGAAACAAUCCUUUAAGGUUAUUUUGGAGCAAAAUGUAUUAAGUUGCACACACUUGAUGCAAUAGAGGACAACUUUCUUACCAUAAGCUGAAAGAAGCUUAGCUCUUGGGAACAGUUUUCUGGUAUCUUUUAUAAGCCAAACUGACAGACUCCCACCUCCAUUUAAUAUUUUCUCAACAGUUUGACUCCCUUUCGAGGUUUCCUUUGCCCUGACAAAAUAUCUCUGAAAAAUAAACUGAGCCAACUGACUACCAUACAACACAAUUACUAAAGAAACCUAACAUCAUUAAAGACAUGCAGUGCAUGUUGUGUAGGGGGGAAAUAUAAAAACUCAAAAUUCAUUAGGCAGGACUUAUUGGCAGUGACAAGCUUUCAUUCUCAGAUAUAGCACAAGGUCUGUUCAAGUACAAAAUCACUAACAUGUGCGAUGCAUGUUGUGAGGGGAAGAAUAAAGGCUUAGUAGUCUUAGCUUUCAAAAUGCAUGCUUAAAAAUUGGACUUUGCUAGGACAUCACAUGGAAUGAGAGAGAAAAAAAAAAGAAUGGAAUUUAACUGGCCAUGGGAAAAAGGUAGGGACACUGACACAGCCUAAUUAUGUUGAGAAACAUAGGCAACCAAAAAUGACAAAGAUAUUCAUUCAUCUAAUAUAUUCAGAGGGCAAGAAAAUUCUUCCUAUGGUCACUUGUCCAUUUUUUCUUCAUGUUAAUUUCUACUGAAACAUUCUAUGAAAAUGAAUGUCAAAGAUAGCUGUCUCCCACCACAUCUUUAUGACAGUAUUACUUUAAUCUGCUUCCAUUAAAGAAUGAAGGAAUUAUAUUAUUACCUGGCUAUUGAGAUCAAAUCACCCAGUAUUGCAGGAACAGUGAUUAGAGAAGUCACUCUGUGUUGCUCUAUACUUUCUACUGCCAGUGUAGCUUCAAACUUGGGUAUCAAGACAUGGCAAGCUCCAACCAUUAGCAUAGCCAUGGCUGAUGACAAUCCACCAAUGUGGCAAAGCGGAGUAGUGUGCAAAUAGACAUCAUUCUCACAAUAACCAACAAUGGCAGCUUUUGCUAAGGAUUGUACUAUCAAAGCUGAAUGGCUUAUGACAACUCCCUUUGGCCUUCCAGUGGUUCCUGAAGUGAAGCAUAUAACAACAGCGCCCUCAGGUGCCCAAGAGUAAUUCAAUGGAAGAGUUCUUAUGCCAUUCUUCCGAAGCAUUUCAGUAGUUAAUACUAGAAAAAUGAAGGAAACGUAACAAUACUAUUAAGUCAAUCAUCGAAUUACAGAAAACUAAGAUUUUUAACUCAUACACACACAGCAAAUUAAACAAUUCUCAGAAGGUACAUACUGUUUGAUGCUUCGAAGGAGCCCAAGAAAGCAUGCCACUUUAGAGAAGGUAUAGCAUCACUCUGGAGCUCCGAAUACCAACAAUUACAGCUCUCAUCAGUCACCAACAUCACUGGCCUCACACACAACAUCGCUGAUUUUGCCUCUUCAAAGCUCCAUCGAUAAUUCAGAGGAGCAACUACGGCACCAACAAACGCAACCGCUAGUAACCACUCUAAAUAGCAAACGCUGAAACGAGCCACCAAAUCAUAUACUCUCAUAAGCGGGUACUGAUACAUGUAUUUUCAGAGCAAAGGCAGAGACAGAACCUGUUUAAAGCACAGAUUGCGACAAUGUCGCCGCUCCUGAGUCCAAGUUCAAGCAGUCCGCGAGCCAAACUCAACACGUCUUCAACGAAAUGCUCGCCAGUUUUCUGCCGGUCGCCGGCAAUUGUGACGAUGGAAUUUCGCCGGAGAGUUGAUAACCGCGUCAGGCACUGGCAAAUAUGGGCCUGAGAGUAAUAAGCCAUUGGCUUUGUUGAGGAUAAAUUGAGAAUUGGAAGAUUAGUUCUGACUCACUGCACCGGUGAUUUUACGUUGAGUUUUGAAUGACAUGUUAAGGCUGAAGAAAGCGCGUAGAUCAUCUUAUCUCGUAAAGAACUUGGUGAGACAUUCAAGUGGCUCGUUUGUGAC